CAGAGUUUGAAAAAUAGUCAUAAAUUAAUGUUCUGUGCUGACUUGAAGGAAAAUUCCCUACGUGUAUUCCCAAACACAUCAGGCCAUAAUUGUGCAUGAGUGUGUGUGUGUGUGUGUGUGUGUGUGUGUGUUUUAAGAGGAUGUGCAAAAUAAUUGAAUAAUGUAAUAGUGUUGCUGUUUUCUAAAAAGCUCUGA